rnacentral:rRNA from 1 species
GGGUUCGAUUAUGGCUCAGAACGAACGCUGGCGGCAGGCCUAAUACAUGCAAGUCGAGCGCGCCCUUCGGGGUGAGCGGCGGACGGGUGAGUAACGCGUGGGAAUAUGCCCUUCUCUAAGGAAUAGCCUCUGGAAACGGAGAGUAAUACCUUAUACGCCCUUUGGGGGAAAGAUUUAUCGGAGAAGGAUUAGCCCGCGUUAGAUUAGGUAGUUGGUGGGGUAAUGGCCUACCAAGCCUACGAUCUAUAGCUGGUUUGAGAGGAUGAUCAGCCACACUGGGACUGAGACACGGCCCAGACUCCUACGGGAGGCAGCAGUAGGGAAUCUUAGACAAUGGGGGCAACCCUGAUCUAGCCAUGCCGCGUGUGUGAUGAAGGCCCUAGGGUCGUAAAGCACUUUCGCCAGAGAUGAUAAUGACAGUAUCUGGUAAAGAAACCCCGGCUAACUCCGUGC